rnacentral:rRNA from 1 species
CCUAUGGGGGGCAGCAGGCGCGAAAACUUUACAAUGCGAGAAAUCGUGAUAAGGGAACCCCGAGUGCCCGUAAAUUCGGGCUGUCCGCCAGUGUAAAUAACUGGUGAAGAAAGGGCCGGGCAAGACCGGUGCCAGCCGCCGCGGUAAUACCGGCGGCUCGAGUGGUGGCCACUAUUACUGGGCUUAAAGCGUCCGUAGCUGGAUUGUUAAGUCUCUUGGGAAAUCCACCGGCUCAACCGAUGGGCGUUCAGGAGAAACUGGCAAUCUAGGGACCGGGAGAGGUGAGAGGUACUCCAGGGGUAGGAGUGAAAUCCUGUAAUCCUUGGGGGACCACCUGUGGCGAAGGCGUCUCACUAGAACGGCUCCGACAGUGAGGGACGAAAGCUGGGGGAGCAAACCGGAUUAGAUACCCCCGUAGUCC